UGCAGUCGAACGCGUCUCCGUUAAUGAUUUUAGGUGCUUGCACUUGAAAGAUUUAACAUUGAGACGAGUGGCGAACUGGUGAGUAACACGUGGGUAACCUGCCCUUGAAGUAGGGGAUAACACUUGGAAACAGGUGCUAAUACCGUAUAACAACCAAAACCACCUGGUUUUGGUUUAAAAGACGGCUUCGGCUGUCACUUUAGGAUGGACCCGCGGCGUAUUAGCUUGUUGGUAAGGUAACGGCUUACCAAGGCGAUGAUACGUAGCCGACCUGAGAGGGUAAUCGGCCACAUUGGGACUGAGACACGGCCCAAACUCCUACGGGAGGCAGCAGUAGGGAAUCUUCCACAAUGGACGAAAGUCUGAUGGAGCAACGCCGCGUGAGUGAUGAAGGGUUUCGGCUCGUAAAACUCUGUUGUUGGAGAAGAACAGGUGUCAGAGUAACUGUUGACAUCUUGACGGUAUCCAACCAGAAAGCCACGGCUAACUACGUGCCAGCAGCCGCGGUAAUACGUAGGUGGCAAGCGUUGUCCGGAUUUAUUGGGCGUAAAGCGAGCGCAGGCGGUUUUUUAGGUCUGAUGUGAAAGCCUUCGGCUUAACCGGAGAAGUGCAUCGGAAACCGGGAGACUUGAGUGCAGAAGAGGACAGUGGAACUCCAUGUGUAGCGGUGAAAUGCGUAGAUAUAUGGAAGAACACCAGUGGCGAAGGCGGCUGUCUGGUCUGUAACUGACGCUGAGGCUCGAAAGCAUGGGUAGCGAACAGGAUUAGAUACCCUGGUAGUCCAUGCCGUAAACGAUGAGUGCUAAGUG
rnacentral:rRNA from 2 species